AACCUGCCGUCUACUCUUGGCCAGCCUUCUGAAAGGAAGAUUAAUCCAGGAUGGGAUCAUGAGUUCACAUGUCCGCAUGAUUAAAGGUAUUUUCCGGUAGACGAUGGGGAUGCGUUCCAUUAGAUAGUAGGCGGGGUAACGGCCCACCUAGUCUACGAUGGAUAGGGGUUCUGAGAGGAAGGUCCCCCACAUUGGAACUGAGACACGGUCCAAACUCCUACGGGAGGCAGCAGUGAGGAAUAUUGGUCAAUGGACGAGAGUCUGAACCAGCCAAGUAGCGUGAAGGAUGACUGCCCUAUGGGUUGUAAACUUCUUUUAUAAAGGAAUAAAGUCGGGUAUGCAUACCCGUUUGCAUGUACUUUAUGAAUAAGGAUCGGCUAACUCCGUGCCAGCAGCCGCGGUAAUACGGAGGAUCCGAGCGUUAUCCGGAUUUAUUGGGUUUAAAGGGAGCGUAGAUGGAUGUUUAAGUCAGUUGUGGAAGUUUGCGGCUCAACCGUAAAAUUGCAGUUGAUACUGGAUGUCUUGAGUGCAGUUGAGGCAGGCGGAAUUCGUGGUGUAGCGGUGAAAUGCUUAGAUAUCACGAAGAACUCCGAUUGCGAAGGCAGCC
rnacentral:rRNA from 1 species